GUUAUUGUAUUUUUCUGCUUGAAAAGCAAUGUUUUAUUUUGUCAUUGAAACCAUCCUCUCCUUUGUCAUAAGACACUUGCAACUUAAGAGGUUUAAAGUAUCACUGGAGUUUAUGCUUUUAUUUUUGUAUUUAAUUUUUAACUUCUAUUUUUAUUUGCAUUUUAAUUCAAAUUUAAUAUACGUUAACUUUUUUGAUUCAAAAAAUCAUUCCAAGGACAGGUAAGACUUGAAUCCCUAAAUAAUUGAAAUAGCUUCAGUAACAAGGAACUAUUUCUUAUUCGUUUCCUUACUUACGUGAAUUUGCAGCCCCCACCAAAGAAGGUUAAAAUAAGAAAAAGGGUUUACUAUACUCUUUAUUUGUUUUAGAGGAAAGAAUUGAUCCAGAUGACAGAAACCUCCACCAGACGGAGCAGCCAGCACAAAGAGUCUGUGUGGCGGUGCAUUCGGCUCGCUAGAUAAAGAAAGGAAGUGACAGGAAAUCAGAGAGUUUAUUUUAACGAUCCUGCCCUGUCUUCCAUCAUAAGGCUGUCAAGUUCAAAGCAGAAGUCCAUGGAGAAGAGUCUGGAAUCUUCUCACCACCAUUAAACAAAGCCCCGUCAAGUUAAGCUGAACUUCUCUAGUGUCUGUGAAAUGAAACACACACACUGUAGGUUGCGACUCUCCUGGCAGGAAUACCUCUUCACUAUGUGAAGACAUAACAAGAAGAUAGCCGUCUGCAAGCUAGACCCUCACCAGAACCCACGCAGGGUGGCACGCUGAUUUCAACUUCCCAACCCCUAGAACUGUGAGAAGUAAAUUUCUGUUGUUUAAGACCCCGAGUCUAUGCUGUGUUUGUUAUAGCCACCUGAACUGACUGAGGGGACAGAGCCCUCAGGGAUGAGGCUGAAAUGAACGUUCAUGAACAAGACUGUGUGGACAAAAGCCUCCACUUCUCCUGAGUAACAGCUCGGGAGUCGUAUUACUGGGACAUACAGUAAAUGUUCUUUUAACUUUAAAAGAAAUGUCAAAAGUUAAUUCCAAAGUUAUUCUGCUAUUCAGCAUUCCCACCAGGUUUCCUUUUGCUCUGCAUUUCCAUCAACGCUUGGUAUUAUCAGUCUUCUAAAUUUUAACUACUCUAAGGGUGAACAGUAUUAUCUCACUAUGUUUUAAUUAGCAUUUUCUUAAUGACUAAUAAUAUUUUUGUAUCCUUGUUGGCCAUGUGUUUCUCCUGUCAAAUAUCUAUUCAAACCUUUUGCCCAUUCGGUCAAUAGGAUUGUUUGUUUCUGUUUUUGUUUUUUCUUCAUGUUGUUGAGUUGUUAUAGGACACUGUAUCUUCCGGUUAAAGGUUCUUUGUAAGAUGUAAAUAUUGUGAAUGUUUUCUCCUAGCCAGGGGCUUACCUUUUCAUUCUGAAGAGUUUGAACAACAUAAAAUUUUAAUUACGAUGAGAAUUUCAUCAAAUUUAUUUUUUCUCAAUGAAGGUGCUGAGAAUUGAACC